rnacentral:rRNA from 1 species
AUUGAACGCUGGCGGCAUGCUUUACACAUGCAAGUCGAACGGUAACAGGCCUUCGGUUGUUGUCGAGUGGUGACCGGGUGAGUAAUGCAUCGGAACGUACCCAGUGGCUGUGGGUAACGCAUCGAAUGCUGUACUAGUACCGCAUGUGAUCUGAGGUUGAAAGCGGGGGACUGCGCUGCUAUGUUUCGCCUCGGCCCUUUGUAAUGGCUGAAGCCGGAUUAGCUUGUUGGUAGGGUAAAGGCAUCCCAAGGCAACGAUCCGUAGCUGAGCUGAGAGGACGACCAGCCACACUGGAACUGAGACACGGUCCAGACUCCUACGGGAGGCAGCAGUGGGGAAUUUUGGACAAAGGGCGCAAGCCUGAUCCAGCAAUGCCGCGUGCGGGAAGAAGGCCUUCGGGUUGUAAACCGCUUUUGGCAGGAACGAAACAGUGUCCGCUAAUACCGGGCGGUAAUGACGGUACCUGCAGAGUAAGCACCGGCUAACUACGUG